rnacentral:lncRNA from 10 species
GCACAACCCCACAGGCUAGGUAUUAUUAACCCAUUUUGGAGAGAAGCUUAAGUUACUUUCCCAGAGUCCCGGUGGAACUUGGAUUCGACACAGGCAUUCUAAGUUCAUGAACUUCCCACUGCAACAUGGACUAAGCUCCAUUCUCUCUGCAGACAACCCACAGGACUAAACUUGCCAUGGGGGAUAAAGGCUAGAUGGGAGCAUGAGCAAGUAGCACGUCCCCUGGAGUACUGGGGGCCCCCUUUCUGGAAGAGAGGAUGCCCCUCACAGGCUGGAUCAAGUGCAGCUCUUCACGGGGGCAGAGAGAUUGACACCAUGAACGUGUGAGGGUCACGAAGGCCGCACAACCAGAGGGCACCUGGAACCAGCAAAUGAGUUGACUUUUAUUAAGUUCUGACAGUGGGCCACACACGAUGAAGGUGCCCGCAUGUGUGUUCUUCUAUGAACGCCCUCCUCCCUCCAACCCUGGGCAUUGGCCCUCACUAUUUCCAUUCUAGAAAAGGAAACCGAGCUGCAGAGCAGAGGGGGAACUGGCCCAGUGCCGUCGAGCUGGGGCAGGUGGCUGGAGUUGAGGACUAGGAACUGGCUCCCAGAGCGUCUGAAUCCUCUCUCUUGCCUGCCCCUACCUCAUGGCUUAGCUCCCCCACUCUCAGGUUGCACCUAUGAGAGAUGCUAG